UAGUCCACGCCGUAAACGAUGAGAACUAGAUGUUGGGAGGAAUAGCCUUUCGGUGUCGCGGCUAACGCGUUAAGUUCUCCGCCUGGGGAGUACGCCGGCAACGGUAAAACUCAAAGGAAUUGACGGGGACCCGCACAAGCGGUGGAGCAUGUGGUUUAAUUCGAUGCAACGCGAAGAACCUUACCUGCCCUUGACAUUGAUGGAAUCCUGAAGAGAUUCGGGAGUGCCUUCGGGCCCUGAAAACAGGUGCUGCAUGGCUGUCGUCAGCUCGUGUCGUGAGAUGUUGGGUUAAGUCCCGCAACGAGCGCAACCCUUGUCCUUAGUUGCCAGCACGUUAUGGUGGGAACUCUAAGGAGACCGCCGGUGACAAACCGGAGGAAGGUGGGGACGACGGUCAAGUCAUCAUGGCCCUUAUGGGGCAGGGGCUACACACGUGCUACAAUGGGCUGGGUACAGAGGGGUUGCCAACCCGGCAAGGGGGAGC
rnacentral:rRNA from 1 species